rnacentral:rRNA from 1 species
GCUGANGCUGCCUCACCAUUGCCGAUUCGACAGGGGAAGGGUCUCGCGCACGCUGGUUCGGCUACAUGNGAGCCUGUUAUGGGACAGGCAUGAUUGCCGGGCCAGCACUUGGUGGCAUGCUCGGUGGNAUUUCUGCUCAUGCUCCGNUUAUCGCCGCUGCCCUUCUAAACGGCUUCGCGUUCCUGCUUGCCUGCAUUUUUCUCANNGAGACUAAUNGCANCUAUGGCGAGACCGNAAAACUGGUCCGCAUCGAACCAUUCGUUNUGUUCCNNGCUGGAUGAUGCAUUGCGUGGNCUGACUGCGCUUUUCGCCGUUUUCUUCAUUAUUCGACUGAUCGGUCAACNGAAGGGGCCAAUUCGUUUANACCUGCACGNCUAGUCCCUUU